UGGUAGGCUACUUUUAUACACAGUAGGCCUAUUACAGAGAACAUACAUAUAUAUUUUUGAUAUACACAUUACUUUUCUUGCUGCAAACUUCCUGCAAGUUUGUGACAAAAUGUUGCCAGAAGUUGUUUGCCACUAGUGGUGAAUUUGCAGCAAACCUUUGGCAACAACAAUAUUUAUUAAGACUAGUGGCAAACAGUUCACCAGUUUGUUUCUGGAAAACAAUUCUCUCGAGAUUAUAUUUGAAUCUGUGCAAACCUGUGGCAACAAUAUGUACUGCCACUAGUGGCUCCCAGUUUACCAGAGGUUGUUUUUGGUGGGCACAUCAUUUCAGAGACCAGUAACUUUUGACGACCAGUCAAGGAGAUCUGGAAGAAAAAAAAAUCUGAUGGAAAUGGAAACCAAGAAAUCUACCUACCAAAGUUGUCCUAAGCAAUCAGUUAUCAGGCAAAGAGACAGAUUGAGGCCUUCAAUCAAACGGAGGACUGAGAAAUAUGCAUACACCAGCCUUAUACACCUGAGUCAGAAAGAAGUGACAACUAGUAGAAAAGUGGCUCUUGAUGAUGAAGUCCCCAGUCCAGAUUGAAGAUCUGAGUUUUAAUCCAUUGUAUUGAGGCUUGACUGGAUCAUUUCUGUGGCUCUCUAGAAACACACAUUUUGGAGUGCAUACAUUCAGCAAGCGUUCGGCAGGAUUUCUACAGGGCCGCCAGGUAGGCUAGCGGUUAAGAGCAUUGGGCCAGUAACCAAAAUGUCGCUGGUUCAAAUCCCGAGCUGAGUAAAUGAAAUAUGUGAGCAAAGUGCUUAACCCUAAUGGUUCCUGUAAAUUGAUCUGGAUUAGCGAAUCUGCUAAAUGACAAAAAUGUGAAGUAAAGUUCAGUCAAAGAGGCUAUACUUCUUCCAUUGGUUGAAUGCUCAUGUAAAUUCUGAAGUUGCCCCUUGAGAACUCCUGGAUAUUUCUCUCAUGUAAAUGUUGUAGUUUUUGCUAUUUUCUUCAUUAACACUGCAUUAUGUUUUUAUUGUGAGAUAGUUAAGAACGUUGUAUUGGAUUUUAUGUGUUUUGUGUUAAGACAUUGAAUACAUUUUGUUUAGUUCUGUGAGAAGCAAGUACAUUUAAAGUUAUUUGUGAUUUGGUUGAUGUCGAUAAAAAUUUUUGAUGUUGUUUAAUACACUAAAUAACCAAUUUGCAUAUUCAUAAUGAUUUUGCCGCAAAUUUGCAGCAAACAGUAGAAUUUUCGCCACAAGUUUCUCAGAGUAGUUUGCCAGAAGAUCACAAGUCGGCCCAAAUGUGCGCAACAGUUUGCCACAAAAUUAAUUUGCAUGUGAAAAUAUAAGCUUGCUGCAAAUAAGCCAAAGAUUUGCCACAACUCUUUGCCAGAAGCCUGUUUUUUUGGUAAUGGCUAGUUCUCUGGACUUUUACUUUGAUGAAGUAGGCUAGGCUAGGAUAGAAAAUAGGUAUAUGAUCUGAGUCAUUAAAUGUCAGGGGAAAUGAGAUGAUCACUUUUAAAGGGGAACUGCACCUGCUGAUUUGGUCUCGUUUUUUGGCUUGUUCCUCAAGAAAUGUUGCAAAUACUGGACAUUCCUGCUGUACUGUAUUAUUAGUAAUCUUCACAUUGACGAUGUGUUGAGUGCCAUUCAGAGACGUCAGAAUCAAACCUGUCUGUCUCCAUCACAUCAUCUUGCAAGUGCUAGCUCUGUUAGAUGCAUCCGUGAACAUAUACACACAGUCACUGUUCUAUUGCCAAUAGGUGAUAUCUGACAAACAUAUACUAUGUUGAAGUUUGAACAGGUCAGACUCUUCUCCCCAUCGAUGACUGUUGGUGAGCAGGCAAGAGGUGAGGUCUUUGCCAUAGCAAUGUAGAUCAGCUUCUGGACCCUCAUCAAAGAUACUGGUCUGUGUUGAAUGUUGAAUCUGGGUGCAGGUGACACACACAUGCAGACACAAACGCAGAGCACCGAUUACAUUAUCAAUGGCCUGUUCAGGGGCAGAACGACAGAUUUGUACCUUGUCAGCUCGGGGGUUUGAACAUGCAACCUACUAGUCCAACGCUCUAACCACUAGGCUACCCUGCCACACCAGAUUAUCAAUGAUGGUUAUGAUUAGCCUGGUGAAACCAACCUGAUCACUACAUUCACCUUUCUAUUUCACUUCAGAUAUCAUAAAGUGUAAUAGAAUGGGGAACACAGCGAUUAGGCUGGGUCCACCAGGCUAGGUUAUA